GAUUCGUGAUUUGCAGUUGCAGAUAGAAUUUCCACUUUCCCGAAGUGCCCCCAUAUCUUUCAAAGAAUUUCGACGCCAUCGAAAUUUUGGCACUGCCAAAGCAGUAGACCCACACGAGUCGGCAUUUCCCCCUCCUGAGAACGAACGCACAGAACAUAGUGGGAGCGAGGGCGCAUCAAAAUCAGGUUAUGCCCGAGGAAUCCAGCGGUUCUUCGAGCUGAGGUUUUGAGAAAUUCGUCCGCUUUAGAGGUUUUCGCCUUAAUUAGGGUUUGAGGGGCUGAAUCAAUCAUUAUUAUUAUUGUUUUUUUUGGGUUUAAGACGCCAUACAAGCGGAGCUUUGGCUGCGAGGUCCUGUGUAAAUACGUUUUUAGCUUUAGGAUUUUCUGGAGGAAUAUACUGUCUUGGGGAGGGCUUUGGAUUGGAGUAGUARCAGUUAAUAAUGUUAUAGAGGCCUGAUCCUCUGAAUUAGGGUUUCCGGCGCUUAAUCAAUCUCUGGAGAGGUGUUAUGUGAGUGKACCUAGUGGCUGGCUGUUGUGGCCUGUAGAAGGGGAAUGGGGAGCACAGUCGAUUCAGAUAGAAAGCGGCGUCACUUUAGCACCAUAUCCCCAACGGCUGCUACUGCCAAGAAGCAGCCCUUCUUGCCCAUUUCAGAGGACAAAAAGCUUGAUGUUGCUGUUCUACAAUUCCAAAAUCAGAAGCUCAUACAGAAGUUAGAGGCUCAGAAGGUAGAGUACAAAUCUCUACAGAAUAAACAUGUUCAGUUGAAGGAGAAACAAGAGCCAUAUGAUAUGACAGUGGCCGUGGUUAAAAACUGUUGGGAAGAGCUUGUUAGUGGAUUGGAAACAUCUUCUGUCCGMUUGAGGAGGUGGAGGAGCAAGCAGGAUAGCGAACAUACAAUGGCUGCUGCAGAUGGAUCUUCGUCUAGCUUUGAAGAUGCUGUCCUCAGUCGGCUUGCAGAAACAGGUGCUACUCAAAGUUCCUCAACAUAUGGUUCCUCUAAGCAAAUGGAAGAAGAAACAGAAUCACCAUGUGAGAAGACCAAAACCAUUGAGCGAAAUAUAGAAACUUCAAUUGAAAAUCUCUGGUAUCUGAAGGAUGGUUUACAUGCUGCAUUGUUGAAUGAGCUCCCAGAAGAUGAUUCAUUCAGGAAUAGGACAUCUGGUGACUUGGUUAAAGAAGUAAGGAAUAUGAGGUUGAGAGUAAAGGAUUUUUUGUUAAAGCAAAAGAUGUUGGCUAAAGAACUGCAGAAUCAUCGGGACUUGGAUGCAAAGACUAAAGCUCAGCUAAAAGUUUUAAAAGUGGAAUUGGAGAGUGCAAUGGCUGAACUGGAAGAGAGCAAUUCGAAGGUAACGAAGCUUAGAGCUGAACAUGAUGCGGCAAAAAGGGCUGGAUUUCCUGUUUUGAAUCUAGGAGGUAAACAAUCUGGCAGUGGUAAGGUAAGAGAUAAACAAAAAGAUCUGCGAGAUAUGGAGUCUUCUCUCAAAGAUUUGAAGGACCAAGCAGCUGGUCGACUGGCAGAAUUAAACAGUCUACAUGAAGGACGGAUAAAAAUGCUGCAACAAUUAUCUGAUAUCCGGAAUACAAUGAAGAGUGUGAAGUCCAUUCCAUCUUCACAAUCAUAUCUUUUGUUGAGAGAUCGAAUUGAGAAAUUAAAAUCGGACGUUUAUGAGCAGCAGGCUUUAUUUGAGAAACUACAGGUUGAGAAGGAUAAUGUUAUAUGGAGGGAGAAGGAAUUGAAUAUUAAAAACAACAUACUGGAUAUCUUGAGAAGAUCAUCUACUGUCUCUGAUACUAGGAUUAAUGAUCUGGGAAUGCUGAUUCAGAAACAUAAGGAUGAAAAGAAGUCUAUUGAGAACAAGCUGGCUGAAGUAUUGAAAGAACCAGGAAGGAAAAAAAUUGUCUCGGAAUUUAGAGCACUGGUUUCUUCAUUUCCGGAAGCAAUGGGCUCUAUGCAAAGUCAGUUACAUAAAUACAAAGAAGCUGCUUCAGAUGUUCAUUCUGUGCAGGCUGACGUGCAAUCCCUUUCUAGUGUUAUUGAUAGAAUGGAGAAAGAGUGUGAAAUCUUAUCAUCUAGAUCCAAGGAUCAAAUUGCAGAGAUACAGAAGUUGCAAGAUACGGCUCGAGAUUUAACAGAUGUUAAUCGAGAGUUGAAACUCAUAAUUGAGAUGUAUAGGCGUGAAUCAACUGAAUCAAGGGAAGUCUUGGAAGCUAGGGAUUUGGAAUACAAGGCGUGGGCUCAUGUUCAAUCUUUAAAGGCCUCUCUUGAUGAACGCAACCUGGAAUCACGUGUUAAGACUGCAAAUGAAGCUGAGGCUAUAUCUCAACAAAGGUUAGCUGCUGCAGAAGCUGAGAUUGCACGGCUAAGACAGAAGUUGGAAGUUUCUAAAAGGGAUUUAUCUAGAUUAUCAGAUGAAUUAAAAUCUAAAGGCGACGAAAAUGUGGCCUACUUGUCUGAAAUUGAGACAAUUGGGCAGGCAUAUGACGAUAUGCAAACUCAAAAUCAGCAUCUGUUACAGCAAAUAACUGAGAGAGAUGACUACAACAUUAAGCUUGUUUUAGAAGGUGUGAGAGCAAGGCAGUUGCAGGAGAUUAUGCUCAUUGAGAAGCAGACCUUGGAGAAGGAGAUUCAGCAUGCCAAUGCAUCUCUUGUACUUUACGAGAUGAAAGCUGCUAGAAUUGAAGACCAGUUGAGAGGUUGCUCGGAUCAUAAUCAGAAAAUUGAAGACGACAAGUUACAAGAGACAGUUGCUCUGGAAAGCACUCAAAAAAGAUUACUGGAUAUUAGAAUAGCAUCUCAGCAAACAAGUGAGUUACUUGAUGAAGUGCAAUCUAAGGUUGAGAAAAGUCGAACAGCUCAAGCAGAGCUGCAGAUAGAACUCGAAAAAGAAAGGUUUGAGAAGAAAAGAAUUGAAGAGGAACUAGAAGUUGUUGGCAGAAAGGUUUCUAGGCUUGAAGCACAGAUGGAAAGCUCAUCAGUAGUUGAAAAACUUCAUGAGGAACUUAGGGAAUAUGAAAAGAUAGUGAAUUGCAAAAUUUGUGACAACAGUAGAAAGCAGGUUGUCAUUACGAAGUGCUUCCACUUGUUCUGUAAUUCCUGUGUACAAGAUAUCUUGAAGAGUCAGCAACGCAAAUGCCCAAGAUGUAGUGCAAGUUUCGGGCCCAAUGAUGUCAAACAAGUUUUCUUUUGACUUUAAUCUGGGCAUACGUACUUCUUGAUAAGACUCAACUCAGCCGCCUUUGGUGCACAUUUCAAGUCCAUUUGGUUGAUGCAAGAGUUGACAUGGGGAUACAAACAGGUUUACGUGUAUGACUAUGUUAGAAUGUAGAGGAAACUGUGCGUGAGACGAGAACAAGGAAUAUGGAAUUCCUGCUGCAUAGAAAUUUAAGCAAAUCAUUAGCUUGUUGGCUUGGUUCUAGUUUGUGAUUUAAUUGAAAGUUCAUUAGCGAUGCAUAUUUAUUUUACCUUAUCUUAUGAUGUGCUUGGAGCAACUGGAAGCUUUCAAUUCAUUAUUUGCAGAUUUAUCAGAAGUUUCAGAACUGCUUCGCUGCUAUACUGGCAUGGAUGGACAGACGUUGAAGCAAGAGUUGAGGGUCGCCCGCUUAAUCAGAAGUUUCAGAACUGCCCGCUCAAAACAACUUGUGGAUCGUCAUCACUCCUGCCAUCAGAAAUUUUUGUACUCGACUUGUAGCGGUUGGUUGCUCCACUGGCAAGAAAUGAAGACGGAGCUUACCGUGUUUUCCAUCUUUACGGGCCAAGGAUGAGCAUUAUUACCAAAGCAGUUUUCGACAUUGAAAAAUAGAGCUUUCUUCAUUGGCAUUUCAACCAAUCUGCAAAUUCCAGUUGUCCAGGAUAUUAGUGAUUUACUGAUGUGAGAGUUUUUACAUUUUCUUUGUUCAAACGAUUGACAACUGCUGCUUAGUCAUAAAAGUAUAAAUUUUAAGAUUUUUGAUGCA